rnacentral:rRNA from 1 species
UACAGAGGGUGCAAGCGUUAAUCGGAAUUACUGGGCGUAAAGCGUGCGUAGACGGUUACAUAAGUCGGGUGUGAAAGCCCCGGGCUCAACCUGGGAAUUGCAUUUGAGACUGCAUAGCUAGGGUGCGGAAGAGGGAAGCGGAAUUUCCGGUGUAGCGGUGAAAUGCGUAGAUAUCGGAAGGAACACCAGUGGCGAAAGCGGCUUCCUGGACCAGCACCGACGUUCAGGCACGAAAGCGUGGGGAGCAAACAGG